GGGUACGAGCUUGCAAAGUGCACGCGCAUUUUCUGCAAGCUGGUUGGUGCGGAGCUGGACGAGGCAAAUUAAUUGGAAGGUGCUGCUGACUGCAACAAAACAAAAUGCCUCGUAAGGAGAGGAGGAAGAAACGGCUACAAAAGGAGCUGUGUGAGGCUGCUAAAGGCAGUGGAUCCCUCACCAGCUGGAUUAAAAAGAGCACAGUCUCAAAACAACACAGCCCUGCCCUCCAGCACUAUCAGCAG